GGUGUCCUGGCGCAAUGGUAGCGCGUUGGUUUUCGGUUUACGCUGAAACUCGCCAAAGGUUGUAGGUUCGAGCCCUGCGGACAUCG
rfam:Ascochyta rabiei strain ArDII scaffold_327, whole genome shotgun sequence.